UAACACAUGCAAGUCGAGCGGAAACGAUCCUAGCUUGCUAGGAGGCGUCGAGCGGCAGACGGGUGAGUAACACGUGAGAAUCUGCCCAUUAGAGGGGGAUAACCUGGGGAAACCCAGGCUAAUACCGCAUAAUCCCUACGGGGGAAAGCAGGGGAUCUUCGGACCUUGUGCUGAUGGAUGAGCUCGCGUCGGAUUAGCUUGUUGGUGAGGUAAUGGCUCACCAAGGCGACGAUCCGUAGCUGGUCUUAGAGGAUGAUCAGCCACACCGGGACUGAGGCACGGCCCGGACUCCUACGGGAGGCAGCAGUGGGGAAUCUUGGACAAUGGGGGCAACCCUGAUCCAGCCAUGCCGCGUGUGUGAAGAAGGCCUUCGGGUUGUAAAGCACUUUCAGUAGGGAGGAAGGCUUAUCCUUAAUACGGAUGAGUACUUGACGUUACCUACAGAAGAAGCACCGGCUAAUUUCGUCCNAACGGGCGCGGUAAUA
rnacentral:rRNA from 1 species